AAAUGGAGAACAGCUGCUCACGCUCGUCGUCUGACAUCAGCUAUUUCUCAGGAUGACCCUGCGAGACAGGCCAGGGUCAUUAGACCCAAUUUGGUUCUCAGCAAAUAUGUGUUUAUUCCUGCAUGCGUGGGCCACAGGCUGGUUUCUUGGGUGCAAUGAAUAGCUGCAGGUUUAUUAGGGUGUCUUUUUAGAUGGAUGUAUGUUUCCCGAUGUCUAUAGAACACUCCGGACCCCGGAGAGUGAAGACUCUGCCUGUCGGACUUGCUUUGAGAAGAUCCUUCUCCACCUCCCCAUGGCAGAAGUUGCUUCACAGAGGGGAACAGUUUUAUGGAUGUGGCUGAGACCUUAAACUUGAGGCAACCCAUCUGAGGUGGCAUCCAGAGGAGACUGGCUGGCCCCUCCUUCACCUUGGAUGUAGUGCUGUUUCUAGGAUCUCUUUUCAAUCAGCAAAACAGGGGAUGUUCCAAGAGGGUGUGGAUUCCCUGCCAUCCCACAUGGUCAAGUGGAGGGGACGGGAAAAAGCUAUGAAGGGUUUGUGACCACACAGACUCUCCUGGCCCCCUGUCCUUUUGGAAAGAAGACAGGGAUGAAAUAUAAUCAAGCAAUUAACCACCCCCAUCAUCACCAAGAACAACAGUAUCAACAAGAAGAACAGGGACAACAAAACCCACGGAUGAAACAUUCCUUUCUCAGCUCAGAUCUUAUCUGGUGCGUUCUCUCUCUGCUCUGUCUUGGUGUGUGGUUUAGAGAAACAUGGACAACGCUGUUUGGAAGAACAGGUGAGCGAGGGUGGGGAAUUUCAGAGGCCUGGGCCCACCGCCUCCACCCCUUCCCCAGUUUAACCUUUGACAGGAUCUUCACCUCUCUCUGAUCAGCAUUGCUUCUUGUUCAAAGGCCUCAGCCACCCAGCUGUGUCCCUUUCCCCAGAAAGCAAGGGCAGAUGGCAGUGGGUCUGUUGAUGAGAGAACUUUAAGGGCCCAAUCAGUCCCUGGGCACCCCCUCCUGGGCUCGUUUUCUCCAGGAGGCUGCAUUCUGAUCCAUAAACCUUCUCCUCGGGGUUUAGGGUCGAGCUGUUCCUGAUGUUUAUCGGAGACUGGGAUCAAAGCUAUCCAGGUCAUAAAUCUCUCUCUGUGGCUGUUGGGCCCCAGGGCAGCUGAAGAGGGUUGACAGCCCUUUGGACCUCAAAGGAAAAAAUGUGCUCUACUCCACCCACUCCCAGCUCUGCCAAGAAGCUGUCCUCUGAGAAGCCAUGGCUGGGCCGUUCCAUUCUGGGGAGCUGCUGAAAAGAGCUGGGAGGCCGAGAAGAACUUGCGUGUGCUGGGGGAGAGGAAGCCUGGCCUUGAGGGAGGGGUGCAGGUGUGGCUCCUCUGUGUGUGGGGGCUGGGGGACCUUGUGUGCCUUUUCCUUGUGGCUGUGAAAUGCUUUAUGAGUACUUCCAUAGGAGGAUGGACAGGGAGUCGGGGAGAUAAACUCAGCCACAAGGCCCCAGGGCCUCAGGAAACUUGCACCCAACCCUCUCAUUUUACAGAAGAAAACUGUGCCUGGAAGGUUGAAGGGUUUGUUCCCAGUCACACAACCAGGGAUCCUUAGGACAGCCAGACCAGGAAACCAUUUCCAAACUGCCAAGCCAUGGCAGAGUAUCAAGACCUCAGGAACCAUCGAGACACCAUGGAAGCAUUGGGAAAAGCCUCCUUAGCUUUUGAAGCUCCUCAUUGUUCUUGAGUGUGCAUGGAGCCCAUGACUGCGGGGUUUUGUAGACACCUCAGGGAUUACAUGACUGGUACCCCUGACAAAGUCAAGGCUGCUGGACAAAAUGAGUCCGAGGAUUUCAGGGGCAGCUGGGCGCAGGAGCUGGUGGGCUGUUGGGAGUGCCCCUUUACUGGGCAGGCUUCCUUCCUCCUGGUGAUGGGGGGUUCCUCAGCACAAAAGUGAAGGGGUGGAGGGGCUGGAGGAGCAGGAAUCUCUCUUGUUGAUAGGUAUGAGGCCUUGAAGUCCUUUUCUUUGUCCCAGGAUUCAUGGACGCUUCGGGGCUGAUCUUUGAGUUUUCAAGCAUGGGGUGCAGAGACGUUUAGGUAAACUCUUACCGUCCUCUCUCUUCGUCAGGGCUUCCCAGGAAUCAACAAUGCCCAAGAAGGAAGGGAUUGUAGAAAUAGCUUAACCCUUUCAUUUACCAACGUGGAAAUUGAAGCCCAGGGAAGGGAAGGGACCGGUCGUGGAAGGGAGAGCCAUCAGCAGAAAGAGACCCUGAGAUCUUCGCCUGGGAUUCCCAGGAAGUCCAGCCCGAGCUGAUUCACAGAACAAAUGCAUGCAAACCUUGCUAUCAAUAAAUUACACAUGCACUUACGUAAAACACAUAAAAAUAUAUGGCCUUGGUUUUGGAACAAUACCCCACAGAUAAAAGUAGCUUUAAAUCCUCCAUAAAAUGAUAAAGUCUAGUCCUAAACUCCUAGCAGUUCUGCGGGUGAUCACAGGCGGCAGGAGCCGCUCAAACUUUAAUGGCUUGGUAUCUCCACAUGUAGACAGGAGGCAGAAAACCAUCGGGGAUGAAGUCGUGGGCUCUAGAAUUGCAAAGACGUGGGUUCCAGGCCAGGCUUGGCCCUUGCUAACUGUUGACCUUGAGCAAAUUACCCAACCUGUUCCUUAUUUGUUUCUGCCUCAUAGGUAGUUGUGCAGAUGAAAUGAUAUCAGUUCUCAGAACAGUGCUGGGGACAGAGUACACUCUAUGCUCAAUACAUAUUCACUUUUAGAGAUAUCUUGGGAUUCUCAGUCUAAGUGACAUUCAAAAGUACCUCACUGGGAGGCAAGACCAAGGUGGAGCCUCCUCUUGGAUGGGAUGUGGGCCUAUUUUAUUUUACUUCUUUAUUUUUGUAGGUGCAUGCCACCACACUUGCUAAUUAAUUUUUUUUUUUUUUUUUUGUAGAGAUGGGGUCUCACUAUGUUGCUCAGGCUGGUCUUAAACUCCUGGCCUCAAGCAAUCCUCCUGCCUCAGCCUCCCACAGUGCUGGGAUUACAGGCAUGAACCACUGAGCCCGGCACCUCUAUUUUAAAUCUAUUUUAUCUUUUGAGAUAUAGUCUUGCUCUGUCACCCAGGCUGGAGUGCAGUGGCGCGAUCUCAGCUCCCUGUAACCUCUGCCUCUCGGGUUCAAGCAAUUCUUCUGCCUCAACCUCCCAAGUAGCUGGGACUACAGGCGCCCGCCACCACGCCUGUCUAAUUUUUUGUAUUUUUAGUAGAGACAGGGUUUCACCAUGUUAGCCAGGAUGGUCUUGAACUCCUGACCUCGUGAUCUGCCUGCCUCGGCCUCCCAAAGUGCUGGGAUUACAGGCGUAAGCCACUGCACCCGGCUAUUUUAAAUCUACAGACAAAUCACCCAUGAAGUGCAGUGGGGGAAUAGAGGGCUGGGCUCAGUUAAUUCAGAAGAAGAUUUAUCCCAGGAUCAGGAAAUGAGAGUUUCAGAUGUUGCCAGUAGCUUAAGUGGCUUUUAGGGCCUUUUUUCUGUCUGGCCAGGGCUCAUCCUGGGCUGAGCUUUAAGGCCUGUUAGGGGCUGAAUUCUGUCCCCCUCAAAGUUUAUAUGUUGAACUCAUAACCCCAGUACCUUAGACUGUGACUGUAUUUGGAGAUAGGGUCUCUAAAGAGGUAAUUAGGUUAAAAUGAGGUCACUAGGGUGGGCCCUAGUCCAAUAGAAAUGUGUCCUUGUUGGAUAAGGGGCAACGUGGACACAGACACGUGCAGAGGGGAGCCCCUGUGAAGAAGCGGGGAGAAGACAGUCACCUGCAAGCCACAGACGGGGCCUGUGAAGGAACCAAUCCUGUCAAUACCUUGGUCUUGGUCUUGGCCUUCCAGCCUCCAAAACCCAGAGGCCAUCAAUUUCUGGUGAGGCAGCCCUAGCCGCCUUUCUAAGCGUUCAUACUCCUGGUUUGGCAGAGGGGAAGGGACCACGGCCAGCGCUUCUUAAACCUUCGUGUGUGUGAAACUCACUUCCUGGGGAGCUGGAUCAAGAUGCAGAUUCUAUGACCAUCUAGUUUCCCCUUUCUCAUCCCUUAUCUAAUUUGCUCCUCUGUGGAACUGUGUGAAGUAGACAGGGCAAGAAUUUUCAUCCCCAUUUUCCAGAUUAAGAAACUGAGUCUCAGAUGGAAGAAUCACAGCAAGUGAGAGGCAGUCAAGCCUCCAACUCAGGUCAAGUGAGGCGUCCUCACAUCCCAUGCCCCCCGUAAUUUCCCGAUCCCUAGCAGGGGCACCUGGGGAGACUCCCUGGUGAUGCUGUGUCAGGACUCCCUUCUUUAUUUUGAGACAGAGUUUCACUCUUGUCACCCAGGCUGGAGUGCAGUGGUGUGAUCUCAGCUCAUUGCAACCUCCACCUCCCAGGUUCAAGCAAUUCUCCUGCCUCAGCCUCCCAAGUAGCUGGGAUUAUAGGUGCCUGCCACCAUGCCUGGCUAAUUUUUGUAUUUUUAGUUGAGACGGGGUUUCACCAUGUUGGCCAGGCUGGUCUUGAACUCCUGACCUCAGGUGAUCCACCUGCCUCGACUUCCCAAAAUGCAGGGAUUACAGGUGUGAGCCACCGUGCCUGGCAGGGCUCCCUUUUUGACAGACACUGUCUUAGACCUCAGGCUCCCUCAGGCCUUCGCUCUUGGGGGUUGGAGCUGAGGGGAGGAUGGAAAGUGUCCCUCCCCAUCACAGCGCAGCUAGCUGGUGAGAGGGGCUGGGAGCUCCCGGAUCUGUCUGGACAUGCAGCCACUCCUGGCAGUCCCCACCCCUCCUUCCACCCAGCCCCUCUGCCUUCCAGCAAGUGAAUGAAGUCAGGCAGGCCCUGGGCCAUCCCGGGUGAAGGAGGGAGUGGGCAUGGCUUGGCACUCCAAGGGCUCGCCAUUGGGAGGGGCGUGGAGACGGUGUGAACUCCUUGGUGUCUUGCUCUUGUCAUCUUCCAGCAUGACAUAUGCACAAAGGUACCUUUUAUAGGUGGGAAAUUAUAGGUGCUGCCACUUCAAAGGCCUUGGCAACCAGAGCUCCUCUUUGAUAGAUGACAGUAUUAUUAAUGGUGAUUUAUUGCUGGGGCCAUUUUGACAACAGAAAUAACCAGUUUCCCCACCUUUUCGGCUCUCUUCUCCCACACCUUCCUGGGGAUUUUUUUUUAUUUUGGCUGGCCCUGUGUGUUUUUCUGGCUGCAGGGGUUACCUCCCUGCACGAGGAGGCAUGGGAGGUAACCCAUGGAGCAUCUGCUUAAGGCACAUAGUGAGGCAUCUGGCUUAUUAACUUGUCAUCAUGUGUCAUAAAGUUUAGUGAAAUGCUGGCAGAUUGUAAUCCUAAACAGGGCAAUUACCCUCUUAUUAAAGCAGUACUUUUUCUGUCUGUCUGUCUGUCUCUCUCUUAUUUUUCUCUCUCUCCCUGCCUCCACCCCCUUUCCUGGGAUUGUUGUUACCUCUGCCCUACUUGCACAAUUAGUCAUGAGCGGAGGUCACCUGCUUCAUAAUGAUCCCAGAGUAGGCCUGGCCUUGGCGGGGCAGAGCUGAAGGGGAAGGGGCAAAGGAGAGCUAACCAUGGUGAGGCUUGCUGCAGCAAGCUGGCCUCACGGGGCAUGGGGACAAGGCGCUGUCCCAGGCGGGAGGCUGCAGUAAGAAGGUUGUGGUCUGAGGUUUCUGGCUGCAGGCAGCGAGAAGGAGAGAGGAGAGAGAGCUGACAGGAGCGACUGAGCCUCUGUGGACUUCGCCGCUCACCCAGAUUUUCCGGCAGAGAUGCCUCCCUCUGCCUUUUUCUCCCUCACUUUCGUAUCUCGAAACACAGGUGGAAAAUAAGAAAGGAAGUGGCAGUGGGUGAUGGGGGCCUGGGACAUGAGGACUCCUCACUUGAUCUGAAUUGGAGGCUUGGCUGCCACUCACUUGCUAUGAUUCUUCCAUCUGAGACUCAAUUUCUAAAUCUGUGAAAUGGGGGUGAAACAUCUUGCCCUGUCUGCUUCCCACAGUUUUAGGGAAGAUCAAAUUAGAAAAGGGAUAGGAAAGGGGAUGGCUCAUGGUAACUCACUCCACAAAUCUGAGGGAUGAUUGUAAUUUCAUAUGUGUGACCACAGGGUCUUAUGUCAUGUCUAACGGAGCUCUACCCCCGUGAUUCCAAAGGAUCGUUGACUAUAUUGAAAUUUGGUCUUCUGUCUCUUUCUGUAUUCCUCAGGGUUUUGAUGACCUUGGUUUCUAAAUCUGCCUGGGAGGCAUUGUUUGACUCUGGUCUGAACAACAGGAGUUUUCGGCACAGGUGUGAUCAUGUUACCUGCACAGUGCGAGGUUAAGAAGACAAAUGGGGGUAGGCUAGAGGCAACAGCCAAAUCACAAUUUGCCAGAUCUGAAAAGACCUUAGAGAUUACCUAGCUGAAUUGUCCCCUGCUGUAGAUUUGUAAAUCGAGGCUCGAAGAGGUAGAAUAACUUUCCUAAAAAUCAUCAGAUAAAUGACAGGCAGAGUGGAGACUAGAUCUCCCAUCGCCAGACUUGGCCCAGUGCUCUGUCCACCAAAGCAUGUUGACUGCAUCAACUCUGGGUGCACCUUCUCCUCCUUUAUCAUCAGUCAGCGUUCAGGAAAGCACUGCUAGCAGUCAUUUACACCUUAGCAUGAAUUUAAGCCAACAUUUAGUUCUCCCAGGUGCAUUUGCUUUUUUUUUUUUUGAGAUGGAGUUUUGCUCUUGUCGCCCAGGCUAGAGUAUAAUGGUGUGAUCUCAGCUCAUUGCAACCUCCACCUCCCGGGUUCAAGCGAUUCUCCUGCCUCAGCCUCCUGAGUAGCUGGGAUUACAGGCACCUGCCACCACGCCUGGCUAAUUUUUGUAUUUUUAGUAGAGACGGGGUUUUGCCAUGUUGGUCAGGCUGGUGUCAAACUCCUGACCUUAGGUGAUCUGCCCACCUCGGCCUCCCAAAGUGCUGGGAUUACAGGCGUGAGCCACUGUGCCCAGCCGCAUUUGCUUUUGAGGUCUCAUCCCAUUGUAUAGAUUGUUCCCUGUCAAUGGCAUUUCCAGCACUGGUGAGAAGAGAGGCAAGGCAGGGCUUGUGAUUCUCAUCCCCAAGACCCUGCCACUUGCCUACUCGCUCGGGCAAUGAGGGCGGGCACUGCUUCCAGAGUUAAACUGCACUGGACCCAGAUCUAUGUGUCCAUAAGUCAGAGCAAGUUUGUCAGAAGCUGUCAGGGAGUAAGGCUGAGUAGACGGAUGGAGUCAGACUCAUUUAAAAAUGGAAUACCAGCAGAUAGGUUUAAAAAUGGAAUGCGGCCGGCUAGAGUGAAGGUGGUCCCUAAACCAAACACCUGUCCCUUCUGUGUGUUUUCUGGUUUCUUUCCCCAUUGCUCGAGAAUGCUAGAAGCCAGACUAGUAUUAAGAACUCUAAAUUCCUAGCCUGGCAUGGUGGUUUACACCUGUAAUCCCAGCAACUUGGGAGAUCAAGGCAGGAGGGGAUCACUUGAGCCCAGGAAUUUGAGACCAACCUGGGCAACGUGUUGAAACCCCAUCUCUACAAAAAAUACAAAAAUUAGUCAGGCAUGUGGUGCAUGCCUGUAGUCUCAGCUACUUGGGAGGUUGAGGUGGGAGGAUUGCUUAAGCCCAGGAGGUCGAGGCUGCAGUGAGCCAUGAUCGCGCCACUGCACUCUAGCCUGGGUGACAGAGCGAGACCUUGUCUCAAGACAAACAAACAAACAAACAAACAAAAAACUCUUAAGUUCUAAGUGCCUGGAGCAGGGAGUGUUUCUGAGGCCUCAUGUUUACCAGGGCACUGUGCUAUGUGCAGGGUAGUGAGGGGGAGAGACACCAUUCCAACAUCUUGGAGCCCAAGUCUAGAGUCAGGGCCACAGAGGCGGGAGAGGAAGAGAAUCCCACUGCAAAUGGGCUGGGCCUCCCUGCCUUUGCCCAUUGAGUGAGCAACAGUGCUGUUUCUAUAGGUCUCUUUGAGCCUUAAGCAUGGAAUGUGAUGAGACUGAACAGUGAUAAAAUGUAUUGAUGGAACUUCUGUUCAUUGAAAUGCAAAGGGGAAGAAAGAAUUUAGAAAUGAUCUGAGGUUUCCAGCUUGGGGAGAGAGAAAGUGAGAGGAAGUGGGGGCCUAAGGGGAAUGGAAUGAACAGCCCCGACUUCAGGCUUGUAGACUGCAAUGGGGCAAGGCAGCUACAUGCAAAUGUCCUUCCUGGAGCCUGGAAACAAGGUCAAAGCAGAGAUGGACAAGUAGGAGCGCAGCCUAGAGGAGAUAGGUGAUGCCUGAAGCCAUGAGAAGGGGUGUUAUCUCUGCAGGAAGAAGAAUUGCAACACUCCUCCCAGCUGAGCAAACAGUCUGGGCUGGGAUGUGAGUGGUAUCACACUCUGCACUCACUUCCUCCUUCAGUGGUCAUUUGAGAGUUCACUGGGGCUGACCUACCCCAUUGGUCCUGGAGGACAGAAAGGAAUGGAGAAUAAAGAAGGUCUAAGGUGCAGUUUUUCCCCCUCCUCCAAAGCCAUGAAGGGACCUAUGGAUUUGAAAGCUGUGUGUGGUCACUGUGGACAGAGUGACUCCUACCCCACUGGGGGGCUUUGCCAGCCAAGGCACAAAUCAAGCCUUCUCUUUGCCCUCUGAAGUCAAAGGGAGAAGACCGGGGUUGUCCAUCUUUAUAGGCAGCCUCAGAUGAUCCAACCUAAUAUACGUCAUUAACAAAUUGUGUGAUCUUGAACAAGUCAGUUUAUCUCAUUGUGACUCAAGUGAACAUAAGGGUAUAGAGCAUUUGCCCUGCUGACCUCACUGGAUCAUUGUGAAAUAAUAGCUAAUGAGAUGGUGCAUAGCAGGUGUUUUGUAAACUUAACAGUGAUAGGCAAAGCUUAGUUCCCAUGAGAAUGACUCUCUGACUAUUAUCUAUGGCAUUGGAAUACUGACCUCCCUUCUCUGAGAAAGCUCCAGCGGCAAAAUGCUUCUGAUCUCAAACUUUAGGACCAAUUUUCUGGUUUACAGGGCAGGACGAGCCCCUUCUCUUAAGGAUCAAGGGGAUGAAGGAGAAUUCCCUGCUUUUGGUGGGGGGUUACUUCUGAAAGCCAUGCCCUGCUCCCAUCUGAGGAGGUCACCCAGUCCUAGUUUUGUCUGGAAGCACCCUGCCCAGCCCCAGGGGCCAGCCCCAUCCCAGCCAGGCCUCAGAGAUGUCAGACCUGAAAGGCAGCUGCUGCCUCUCCUUCUGACAGGUGUCUCCGCCAGAGCUGGGAGAUGAGGAGAUAGGCGAGCUGAGCACCUUUCCUCCUUGAAUUGAUAACUGCUUUGCAAUGCAGCUCUGUACUUGCUAAAUGAAACCUCCUGCCCCACCAUGAUGGAUUUAUGGCUGAAACAUCUUAUCUCAACUGAGAAUAUUUUAUGAGUGUGCAUGGGUGUGUGUGGGAUAGGAGGAGGGAAAAGGCAGUUUUGCAAACAUUUCUAGAGGUGCUCCAUAAUCUGCCCUACCCUGAAGUAUUAUCUAGAAGCUCUUUCUAGAUCUGCCAGGCUUAAGCAUCUAUAAGUCUUCUCCAGAUGCUAGCACAAUGUAGAUGCCUCAUGAAACAUUUGCUGAUGAUGAUGAUGACGAUGAUGACGAUGAAGGCUGUGGUCUGGAAGGGGACUCUGUUUUUGAUAAGUUUAAUUCAAUCCAGCAAAUAUUGAACAAAUGCUCAUUUUUGUUCAGGGCUAGGAAAGCUACUAUUAUUAUUUUUUUGGUGGGGUGGAGAAAGGGGAGAGUUGGAGAAUAUAAAAAUAAAUGACACAAACUCUUUUCUCUACAUCCUUGGUCUAUACUGAGGGGCCAGGACAUGCACAUUCGGAGUGGAUGUGGAGCAGAAGGGGUUGGAGUGGCAAGAACUAAUGGCCCAGAGUGUAGCUUCAGGAGCUGGACACACCUGGUGGGAUCUUUAGGUAGUUUCUUGUCUUUUGAGCUCCUCAGUUUUCUCCCCUCUAACAGGGGGACAACACUAUUCCCUAGCUCUAAGGUUGGUGUGAAGGUCAUAGGAUUUGCGUAGGGGUUACUUGGUACCAUGUGGGGUCAGCAGCUCAGUAGCAUCACCAACACGAGGAUGAAGAUGAAGGACCGACUCACUGACGAGGGUGGGCUGGAGAUGACUGGGAGCCAGGAACCAUCACAAACUCAGGGCUCUGUGUGCACUGGUUAUCCCAUUCUUUUGCAACCUUGUAAAAUUAAUUUAAUAGGUAGUACAUCCAAGUGGUUUAAAAAGCAAAAGGUAUAAAGAAAUAUGCAGUGAAGAUGAAAAUUGCUCUCAGUUCUGACCCCUCACUAUUGUGCUCCUCCUUCUCAGAGGCAGCUGUUGUCAUUGGUUUCUGGGGCAUUCUUUCCAAGGGCGUUGUACACCCAGCAUCUAAUGAUGCUACCUCUUCUUCCUCUUUCUUGUUUUAACCCAAAAGGAGGAAUUGGGAGUUGAUGAUAGCCAUAGAGUGGAAGGCAGCAGCUGGAGGGAGGAAGCUGGAUGUAUCUGAGCAUCUACUACGUGCCAGGCCCAGAUGAAAUCUUAUCAGUUCUAGCGAAAUUUGGAGAAAGAUUCACUGUCUUAGAAUUUGAAAACAUCAGUGCUGGAGGGGAAGGUGGAAGCCAUCUGGCUAAUCUUCAUUUACUGAUAUGGAAGUGACUAGUCCAAAGUCCCAGAGCUUUCUGAUUUUUGCUUCUUCUUGCUAGGAAAGCAAUUAUCCUAUAAUAAUCCUUCUUUACAG
rnacentral:lncRNA from 1 species